AUUGAACGCUGGCGGCAUGCCUUACACAUGCAAGUCGAACGGUAACGGGCCUUCGGGUGCCGACGAGUGGCGAACGGGUGAGUAAUAGCAUCGGAACGUACCUUUCAGUGGGGGAUAACGUAGCGAAAGUUACGCUAAUACCGCAUAUUCUGUGAGCAGGAAAGCAGGGGAUCGCAAAGACCUUAGCGCUGAUUGAGCGGCCGAUGUCAGAUUAGCUAGUUGGUGAGGUAAAGGCUCGACCAAGGCGACGAUCUGUAGCGGGUCUGAGAGGAUGAUCCGCCACACUGGAACUGAGACACGGUCCAGACUCCUACGGAGGCAGCAGUGAGGAAUUUUGGACAAUAGGGCGAAAAGGCCCUGAUCCAGCCAUGCC
rnacentral:rRNA from 1 species